AAGGGUACACACUAUGCCGAAAUCGGAGAGGGGCGAUCGCAAAUAUGAUGUAUAUGGCUUUUGCAUGGCUUUGCAGUUGUGGGCAUAUGAGGCUAUCCCUGCUUUGGGUAGCAAAUGGGCGAUCAGAAGGGAGACCAGCUGCCCACGAAUGCUUCAUUGACGAGCACAUGAAAAGCCAUCGGCUAAAGAUUUGACAGUUAUCCUCGACGAUCCUCAGCUCGAAGUUCAUGCUGAGUUGGUUGUCUCGGUGGAAGAGGAGGAUGCAAUAUAUGUACGUGAAUUACUUGUUCCCCCUACUGAAGACGAUCCAGUA